AGAGUUUGAUCAUGGCUCAGAGCGAACGUUCGCGGCGGGCUUAACACAUGUAAGUCGAACGCGAAAGGGAUUCGUCCCCGGUAGCGUGGCGUUCGGGUGAGUAACACGUAGGAAAUCUUCCUUCGAGCGGGGGAUAACGUCCCGAAAGGGAUGCUAAUACCGCAUAUGCCUACGUCGAUCUCGGUCGAUGAGGGGAAAGCUGGCCUCUGUAUACAAGCUAGCACUCGAGAAUGGUCCUGCGGCGCAUCAGCUAGUUGGUGGGGUAACGGUCUAUCAAGGUGAAGAUGCGUAGUUGGUCUGAGAGGAUGAUCAGCCACACUGGUACUGAAACACGGGCCAGACUCCUAUGGGAGGCAGCAGUGGGGAAUAUUGGACAAUGGGCGCAAGUCUGAUCCAGUCACGCUGCGUGAGUGAUGAAGGCCUUCGGGUUGUAAAGCUCUGUGGGGAGGGACGAAAAUGGCCAGUAAGAAACGACUGGUCCUUGACGGUACUUUCUUAGUAAGCACCGGCUAACUCUGUGCCAGCAGUCGUGGUAAUACAGAGGGUGCGAACGUUGCUCGGAAUUACUGGGCGUAAAGCGCGUGUAGGUGGAUUGCUAAGUCGGGUGUGAAAGCCCUAGGCUCAAUCUGGGAACUGCGCUCGAAACUGGCAGUCUCGAGUAUCGGAGAGGGCGGCGGAAUUCCUGGUGUAGAGGUGAAAUUCGUAGAUAUCAGGAGGAACAUUGGUGGCGAAGGUGGCCGCCUGGACGAUUACUGACGUUGAGACGCGAAAGUGUGGGGAGAAAACAGGAUUAGAUAUCCUGGUAGUCCAUGUUGUAAACGAUGGGUGCUGGGUGUCGCGGGUACUGAUUCCUGCGGUGCCGUAGUUAACGCGUUAAGUACUCCGCCUGGGAAGUACGGUCGUAAGGCUAAAACUCAAAGGAAUUGAUGGGGGCCCGCACAAGUAGUGGAGCAUGUGGUUUAAUUCGACGCAACGCGCAGAAUCUUACCCGGGCUAGAAAAGUAUGGAAUCUUUUGGAAACAUUGGGGUGCUCGCAAGAGAGUUAUGAUCCAGGUGCUGCAUGGCUGUCGUCAGCUCGUGUCGUGAGAUGUUGGGUUAAGUCCCGCAACGAGCGCAACUCUUGUCCUUAGUUGCCAUCAUUUAGUUGGGUACUCUAAGGAGACUGCCGGCGUCAAGCUGGAGGAAGGUGGGGAUGACGUCAAGUUCUCAUGGUCCUUAUGUCUGGGGCUACACACGUGCUAUAAUGGUCGGUACAGAACGUCGCGUACCCGCGAGGGGAAGUCAAUCGGCAAAAGUCGAUCUCAGUACGGAUUGCAGUCUGCAAUUCGAUUGCAUGAAGUCGGAAUUGCUAGUAAUCGCUAAUCAGCAGGUAGUGGUGAAUACGUUCUCGGGUCUUGUAUACAUUGUCUGUCACAUUAUGGGAAUCGAUUGCUCCAGAAGUGGUCGAGCCAAUUUGUAAGGGAGGUAGGUCCUUAAGGAGUGGUCGGUGAUUGGGGUGAAGUCGUAACAAGGUA
rnacentral:rRNA from 1 species